rnacentral:rRNA from 1 species
UACGGGGGGGGCAAGCGUUGUUCGGAUUUAUUGGGCGUAAAGGGUGCGUAGGCGGCGCGGUAAGUCGGGUGUGAAAUCUCGGAGCUUAACUCCGAAACUGCAUUCGAUACUGCCGUGCUUGAGGACUGGAGAGGAGACUGGAAUUUACGGUGUAGCGGUGAAAUGCGUAGAUAUCGUAAGGAAGACCAGUGGCGAAGGCGGGUCUCUGGACAGUUCCUGACGCUGAGGCACGAAGGUCAGGGGAGCAAACGGG